rnacentral:lncRNA from 1 species
AUGAGAUCAGAUUCCGGGCGCUGCCUGAUUCUGGGCUCUGUCUUGGCCACUCACCCCUGGCCUGGUCCGGCCUGGCUCCGAUCUGCUGGCUUGCUGGGCGCUCCCGCUCCGGCUGGGCUGGGCUGGGCUGGGCUAGGCUGCAGGAUGGCACGCGCUGCUCAGCCUCCCUCCCCCUUCUUCCUCCUUCCACCCUCCCUCCUCUACCUAGCCAACCUGUUACUCCCCUCCCCGAACUCCGCCCCUUCCCCCGCCUCCAUUGGCCCACCACCGCCCCGCCCCGCCCUGUUCUUCCGAGGAUUGGCCCACGGACCCCACGAUAGGCGGGCCUGCUGUAGACCUGGAAUGAUACCGGGGUCUGGUAAAGGAUUUGAUAUAAAUGUAAAUGCUACAAUUGCAAUUUGUGAAGGAGAGAAAGUGUAUUUCUCAUCUGGCUCCAGUAACACCAGUGACUCAUCAGUGAUGAUUCCAUCAGUGAACUUCCUUUUACAUCUAGCAAUCUAAAAGAUUUGGAAGUUUGGAAACUAGAUCAAGGAGAAAUAACUUAAGAAUUAUUGUAAUUAUCUAAAGCCCUAAUCAAUAAAAGAACCUAGACAUCAUCUUUCA